rnacentral:rRNA from 1 species
GAUCCUGGCUCAGGAUGAACGCUAGCUACAGGCUUAACACAUGCAAGUCGAGGGGUAGCAGGGUAGCAAUACCGCUGACGACCGGCGCACGGGUGAGUAACACGUAUCCAACCUUCCCAUAACUCAGGGAUAGCCUUUCGAAAGAAAGAUUAAUACCUGAUAGUACUUUUUCAAGGCAUCUUGAGAAAGUUAAAGAUUUAUUGGUUAUGGAUGGGGAUGCGUUCCAUUAGAUAGUUGGUGAGGUAACGGCUCACCAAGUCUUCGAUGGAUAGGGGUUCUGAGAGGAAGGUCCCCACAUUGGUACUGAGACACGGACCAAACUCCUACGGGAGGCAGCAGUGAGGAAUAUUGGUCAAUGGGCGAGAGCCUGAACCAGCCAAGUAGCGUGAAGGAUGAAGGUCCUAUGGAUUGUAAACUUCUUUUAUAGUAGAAUAAAGUGAUCCACGUGUGGAUUUUUGUAUGUAUACUAUGAAUAAGGAUCGGCUAACUCCGUGCCAGCAGCCGC